rnacentral:tRNA from 1 species
UCCGAUAUAGUGUAACGGCUAUCACAUCACGCUUUCACCGUGGAGACCGGGGUUCGA